rnacentral:rRNA from 1 species
GCGCCCGACCUCCAACCCUUUGUUGUUAAAACUACCUUGUUGCUUUGGCGGGACCGCUCGGUCUCGAGCCGCUGGGGAUUCGUCCCAGGCGAGCGCCCGCCAGAGUUAAACCAAACUCUUGUUAUUAAACCGGUCGUCUGAGUUAAAAUUUUGAAUAAAUCAAAACUUUCAACAACGGAUCUCUUGGUUCUCGCAUCGAUGAAGAACGCAGCGAAAUGCGAUAAGUAAUGUGAAUUGCAGAAUUCAGUGAAUCAUCGAAUCUUUGAACGCACAUUGCGCCCCUUGGUAUUCCGAGGGGCAUGCCUGUUCGAGCGUCAUUACACCACUCAAGCUAUGCUUGGUAUUGGGUGCCGUCCUUAGUUGGGCGCGCCUUAAAGACCUCGGCGAGGCCUCACCGGCUUUAGGCGUAGUAGAAUUUAUUCGAACGUCUGUCAAAGGAGAGGACUUCUGCCGACUGAAACCUUUAUUUUUCUAGGUUGACCUCGGAUCAGGUAGGGAUACCCGCUGAGCUUAAGCAUAUCAAUAAGCGGAGGAGGGGA